CAACUCUUGACAUCCCAUUGACCGCUUGAGAGAUCAAGUUUUCCCUUCGGGGACAAUGGUGACAGGUGGUGCAUGGUUGUCGUCAGCUCGUGUCGUGAGAUGUUGGGUUAAGUCCCGCAACGAGCGCAACCCCUAUCCUUAGUUGCCAGCAUUCAGUUGGGCACUCUAGGGAGACUGCCGGUGACAAACCGGAGGAAGGUGGGGAUGACGUCAAAUCAUCAUGCCCCUUAUGAGUUGGGCUACACACGUGCUACAAUGGACGGUACAAAGGGCAGCGAGACCGCGAGGUGGAGCCAAUCCCAUAAAGCCGUUCCCAGUUCGGAUUGCAGGCUGCAACUCGCCUGCAUGAAGUCGGAAUCGCUAGUAAUCGCAGGUCAGCAUACUGCGGUGAAUACGUUCCCGGGUCUUGUACACACCGCCCGUCACACCACGAGAGUUUGCAACACCCGAAGCCGGUGAGUAACCNACAAGGAGCCAGCCGUCGAAGU
rnacentral:rRNA from 1 species